rnacentral:lncRNA from 1 species
AUUCUUAAUGUAGGGUAAACUGGGUACGGUUGUGCCAGGGUACGGUAGUGACAGUCGCAGUUGUAACGAAACUAUACGUAAAACGGGGGAGGUUGUGAGGGAGAAAGACGUGGCUCACAAGCCUAAACACGUUCCCCAGUAUUGCGUUAGCCGGCGCACGACGUUGACGUAAGCAGGAGCCCACAUUGCUUUUCAACAAUCAAAAAUGUCCAGGAUACGUUUGCGGAAGACCGAAAGAGCGCAGUGUGAUAUCAAAAAAUAAAAAGAUGCCGAUGAAGAAGUGAAACAAGGGAUUUCGUACGUGUAGCUCAAGCUACAAGCCUUUCUACAGCUACAAGUUUGAACAGAGCAAAUGUUGUUUUGUUGAUUGUUAAAACUAUGUUUGUAAGCUUAUUAUGUUAAACAUUUCUACAAUAAAAGAUAUUAUAGACCAUUUUGA